rnacentral:lncRNA from 1 species
UCAGGCCCAUCUUCCUAGAAAGUAAACUGAGAUCACCUAGUUUUGUCACAUCACAAUUGGCUUAAAUAGUCAGUCAAGACUUGGUGAUAGCUGUAAUUAGUUACCAGAAGAGGAGAGGUCAACUUCUUCCCAGUGCUUGGCAUGCUGCUGUUGGUGCUCCUUUUGCCACCAAGCUGUCCCGCUCAGCCACCGUUCUUGGAGCACCAAAGGCACAUAGAUUCACACAUUUUAUUUUGGACAGAACCUCUAGUGUGGACAUGAAACAUCACUAAAUGUGGGGACCGGUUUCAACUAAAU